UGCUAAAUGCAGCAACAACAGCUGUCAAAAGAAAAAAAUUGCCGAUGUGUGAGUGCGUAAAUUAACAAACUUACUAAUUUAACGGAAUACUCAAAAGUCAGAUAUAUUUGUCUAGUUUGGGCAGUGAUAUAAAUAGCUUUCAAAACAGAAUAAAAGAACAAAUUACACUUCAUUAUACCCUUU